rnacentral:rRNA from 1 species
GGGCCCGCACAAGCGGUGGAGUAUGUGGUUUAAUUCGAUGCAACGCGAAGAACCUUACCAGGGUUUGACAUCCUGCGAAUCUCUUGGAAACAGGAGAGUGCCUUCGGGAACGCAGUGACAGGUGGUGCAUGGCUGUCGUCAGCUCGUGUCGUGAGAUGUUGGGUUAAGUCCCGCAACGAGCGCAACCCACGUCUUUAGUUACCAGCGGGUUAAGCCGGGAACUCUAAGGAUACUGCCAGUGACAAACUGGAGGAAGGCGGGGACGACGUCAAGUCAUCAUGCCCCUUACAUCCUGGGCUACACACGUACUACAAUGCUACGGACAAAGGGCAGCAAGUUCGCGAGGACAAGCAAAUCCCAUAAACCGUGGCUCAGUUCAGAUCGUAGGCUGCAACUCGCCUACGUGAAGGCGGAAUCGCUAGUAAUCG